GACGAGGGGUCCAAGCGUUGUUCGGAAUCAUUGGGCGUAAAGCGGGUGUAGGUGGCUCUGUAAGUCAGGAGUGAAAGCCCUGAGCUUAACUUAGGAAGUGCUUUUGAUACUGCAGAGCUUGAAUGUGGGAGAGGAUCGUGGAAUUCCUGGUGUAGUGGUGAAAUACGUAGAUAUUCGCAAGAACACCAGUGGCGAAGGCGGCUCACUGGCCCGGUACUGACGCUGAGGUGCGAAAGCGUGGGGAGCAAACAGG
rnacentral:rRNA from 1 species